UGUAUUUCAAAAGUUUAGUUCCGGAUGAACUGGUGAUUGUUUAUGGCUCUGCAAGGAUAACGCUAUACUAGUAUAGAGCUCAACAGCCAGGAGUGUCACUUUGGCGAGGCCAGGCGAGGGAAUGGCGAGAUGUAGGGCUGAACCGGAAGCCCUUACUCACUCCAUGGUGGGUCACAAGAGUGAGGAACCAACCCAUCCUUUCAAGCCUGGAGAUCUGGUCUGCAUUCGCCAGCUGAAUAAAGCAAAGAAAGGAGGUUUCCCGUUCAGCAAGCCAGUCACUGUUAUCGCUGUAACCAGGACUGCCGUACUGACUGACGACAAGGACAUCUAGAUACACGCUUCACGAGUGAAACUCUGUCCAAAGAGAGGAGAAGCGGGUGACAAGCUAUCGGUCACCCCUCACAAAGGAGAAGUGGGUGAUAAGGUACAGAUCACACCUCACAAAGACCAGGAUGACGUUCUAAAUCAUGGAUCCAAGACAUUCCUGCAAGAUCUUCCUUUUCCUAAUGGGGAUAUUGAUCUUUGUGUAUAUCCCAAUAGUAUUAAUAACGGCAUGUUAUUACUCACCUGAAGAUGCUGAACACUUUACACCUAUUUGUUUACUAUUAUUAACAUUGUUUAACUGUUACAUGUCUUGUACUUUACGAAAGAAAAUAUUAGGUAUGAUACAAGAUGCAGAAAAAGUUCAACUGCAAAAUUUAAUUAGAGGUAGACCUAGAUAGUUUAUAUUGUAGGAACAUUAUUAUAUAUAUUAUAUAUAUUAUGUUAUAUGGGUAAUUUGAAUCUCACAUAUUAAGCAUAUUGAGGGUAACCUUAAAUCUUGUAUCAAAUGUUUAUAAUGUAGCACACAGUAUCCCAUAGCAACAUUCCACAAGUUUCUUUUGUAUAAGUUGUAACAUUUGGUUCUAAUAUAAGAUCCUCUCUACAAAUGGUUAUAUGGGCAUAUUCUGUUAUGUGCUAUAACAACAUUCUUAUUUCCUGUGGGCCCCUUAUGCAGAUGUGAAGUUAACUAUGUUUUUUAUAUAUUUCCUGUGACCUCAUGUAUGACGUAUACUUCAUUAUAAAGUCUUUGUGUGUUUUUCAAUAAAUGGGAAUCUUGUGAAAACA